rnacentral:rRNA from 1 species
ACGGAAGGCAGCAGUGAGGAAUAUUGGUCAAUGGACGGAAGCCUGAACCAGCCAAGUCGCGUGAAGGAUGAAGGUAUUAUGUAUUGUAAACUUCUUUAGCAGUGGAGUAAUAAGGGGAUCGUGAUCCCUGAUGCAAGUACACUGAGAAUAAGGAUCGGCUAACUCCGUGCCAGCAGCCGCGGUAAUACGGAGGAUCCGAGCGUUAUCCGGAUUUAUUGGGUUUAAAGGGUGCGCAGGCGGCUUUUUAAGUCAGUGGUUAAAUCGUGACGCUCAACGUCAUCACGCCAUUGAUACUGGAGAGCUUGAUUGCGGUCGAGGUUUGCGGAAUUCGUUGUGUAGCGGUGAAAUGCAUAGACAUGACGAAGAACACCGAUUGCGUAGGCAGCAGACCAGGCCGUAAAUGACGCUCAUGCACGAAAGUGCGGGGAUCGAACAGGAUUAGAUACCCUGGUA